UGGCUCAGUUGGUUGAGUGUCUGACUUCAGCUCAGGUCAUGAUCUCAUGGUUUGUGGGUUCGAGCCCCAC
rnacentral:tRNA from 1 species